AGCAGGUGGAAAUCCCAGUCUUUGGACAACCUAAUCUUGGAAGUGAUAUUUCUAUCACUUCUUCCAUAUUCUAAUCAAUAUAUGUGACCCAGUAAGUUCAGUCCACACUCAGAGGGAAAUUAAACUCUACCUUUUAAGGAGAGGCAUAUCAAAGAAUUUAUGGACAUAUGUUUAAAACAAUCACAUUAAAUAAUUAUUUACAGUUUUCUGAGACAGGGUCUUGCUCUGUCACCCAGCUGGAGUGCAGUGGCAUGAUCAUGGCUUGCUGCACCCACAACCUCCUUGGCUCAAGCGAUUCUCCCACCUCAGCCUCCCUAGUAGCCAGGAGCAUAGGUACACACUAUGGUGCCCUGCUAAUUACAAUUUUUUUUCUUUUGUAGAGACAGGAUCUUGCCAUGUUGCCCGGGCUAGUCUCAAACUCCUGGGCUAAAGUGAUCCUCCCACCUCAGCCCCCCAAAGCGCUGGGAUUACUACAGAGAAGAUUUGUGAAGCUGUGUGACCUGCCUCCUUGCAACUGCCAGAGCUGCUCAAAGCUCCAAGAUUCCCUGCUGGGCAGCCACAUACCUGCCAAAGCAUUGUGUUCAAGGCUCUCAAGAAACCAGCCAUGAAAAGCUUCCCACUUCAGGAAAAAUCCCUUGCUUGACUUAUUCAGAGAUCAUGGAGGCCAAUACAACUGCAGACCAGAGAAAAAAAAUCUGGCUUUGUUGCUGUUAAAACUCAAUUCAAAGACUCAGGCUCCUUGAGAUCCCUGCAGGGUGAUUUUACUAUUUUCCCAGAGGUAACCCAAUUGGAGUCUAUCUGACUGUGCCAGUCCAGAUAUUCAUAUUUUGUCUUUUUCCUCUGUCUUAUCACUGGGGGAAACAGCUUGGAAUUUAGGUUCAUGAAUACAACCUCCUUACUGUUUUGCUUUUUUUCCCUAGUGUCUCAAAUCUUUUCCUGCUUCCCAUCCUCUCCUCAGUUGUCAGUGUGAUUUUCCUACAUUUGGAUGGAUGUUUUCUUCCUAUUUCCCAUACACAGCACUUGGCCAAGAACAUAAAGGGGAGAUGUGGGCUACUGGGCCUGGGGGAAAAACUAUAACAUGUAGUUCCUCUUGCUCAAACUUUAGGGCUCUGUAAUACCAACCUUCUUCAUUCCAUUAGGCAAAGCUCUAAGCCUAUUUUCAGUUUCAG
rnacentral:lncRNA from 1 species